UACGAAGGGGGCUAGCGUUGCUCGGAAUUACUGGGCGUAAAGCGCACGUAGGCGGCUUUCUAAGUCGGGGGUGAAAUCCUGGAGCUCAACUCCAGAACUGCCUUCGAUACUGGAGAGCCUCGAGUCCGGGAGAGGUAAGUGGAAUUCCGAGUGUAGAGGUGAAAUCGUAGAUAUUCGGAAGAACACCAGUGGCGAAGGCGGAC
rnacentral:rRNA from 1 species